UAGCGGCGAGCGAACGGGGAGCAGCCCAGAGCCUGAAUCAGUGUGUGUGUUAGUGGAAGCGUCUGGAAAGGCGCGCGAUACAGGGUGACAGCCCCGUACACAAAAAUGCACAUACUGUGAGCUCGAUGAGUAGGGCGGGACACGUGGUAUCCUGUCUGAAUAUGGGGGGACCAUCCUCCAAGGCUAAAUACUCCUGACUGACCGAUAGUGAACCAGUACCGUGAGGGAAAGGCGAAAAGAACCCCGGCGAGGGGAGUGAAAAAGAACCUGAAACCGUGUACGUACAAGCAGUGGGAGCACGCUUAGGCGUGUGACUGCGUACCUUUUGUAUAAUGGGUCAGCGACUUAUAUUCUGUAGCAAGGUUAACCGAAUAGGGGAGCCGAAGGGAAACCGAGUCUUAACUGGGCGUUAAGUUGCAGGGUAUAGACCCGAAACCCGGUGAUCUAGCCAUGGGCAGGUUGAAGGUUGGGUAACACUAACUGGAGGACCGAACCGACUAAUGUUGAAAAAUUAGCGGAUGACUUGUGGCUGGGGGUGAAAGGCCAAUCAAACCGGGAGAUAGCUGGUUCUCCCCGAAAGCUAUUUAGGUAGCGCCUCGUGAAUUCAUCUCCGGGGGUAGAGCACUGUUUCGGCAAGGGGGUCAUCCCGACUUACCAACCCGAUGCAAACUGCGAAUACCGGAGAAUGUUAUCACGGGAGACACACGGCGGGUGCUAACGUCCGUCGUGAAGAGGGAAACAACCCAGACCGCCAGCUAAGGUCCCAAAGUCAUGGUUAAGUGGGAAACGAUGUGGGAAGGCCCAGACAGCCAGGAUGUUGGCUUAGAAGCAGCCAUCAUUUAAAGAAAGCGUAAUAGCUCACUGGUCGAGUCGGCCUGCGCGGAAGAUGUAACGGGGCUAAACCAUG
rnacentral:rRNA from 1 species